rnacentral:tRNA from 1 species
GGAGCGGUAGUUCAGUUGGUUAGAAUACCGGCCUGUCACGCCGGGGGUCGGGGUUCGAGUCCCGUCCGCUCCCC